rnacentral:rRNA from 1 species
UCUGGCGUCAGGAUGAACGCUAGCUACAGGCUUAACACAUGCAAGUCGAGGGGCAGCAUUGGAGUAGCAAUACUCAGAUGGCGACCGGCGCACGGGUGAGUAACACGUAUCCAACCUGCCGCUUACUCGGGGAUAGCCUUUCGAAAGAAAGAUUAAUACCCGAUGGUAUAAAGAGUUCGCAUGUUCUCUUUAUUAAAGAAUUUCGGUAAGCGAUGGGGAUGCGUUCCAUUAGAUUGUUGGCGGGUAACGGCCCACCAAGUCUACGAUGGAUAGGGGUUCUGAGAGGAAGGUCCCCCACAUUGGAACUGAGACACGGUCCAAACUCCUACGGGAGGCAGCAGUGAGGAAUAUUGGUCAAUGGACGAGAGUCUGAACCAGCCAAGUAGCGUGAAGGAUGACUGCCCUAUGGGUUGUAAACUUCUUUUAUAAGGGAAUAAAGUGAGGGACGUGUCCCUUUUUGUAUGUACCUUAUGAAUAAGGAUCGGCUAACUCCGUGCCAGCAGCUGC